GACGAACGCUGGCGGCGUGCUUAACACAUGCAAGUCGAACGGAAAGGCCCUGCUUUUGUGGGGUGCUCGAGUGGCGAACGGGUGAGUAACACGUGAGUAACCUGCCCUUGACUUUGGGAUAACUUCAGGAAACUGGGGCUAAUACCGGAUAGGAGCUCCUGCUACAUGGUGGGGGUUGGAAAGUUUCGGCGGUUGGGGAUGGACUCGCGGCUUAUCAGCUUGUUGGUGGGGUAGUGGCUUACCAAGGCUUUGACGGGUAGCCGGCCUGAGAGGGUGACCGGCCACAUUGGGACUGAGAUACGGCCCAGACUCCUACGGGAGGCAGCAGUGGGGAAUAUUGCACAAUGGGCGGAAGCCUGAUGCAGCAACGCCGCGUGCGGGAUGACGGCCUUCGGGUUGUAAACCGCUUUCGCCUGUGACGAAGCGUGGGUGACGGUAAUGGGUAAAGAAGCACCGGCUAACUACGUG
rnacentral:rRNA from 1 species